UACAGAGGCCUCAAGCGUUGUUCGGAUUCACUGGGCGUAAAGGGUGCGCAGGCGGCCAAGUGUGUGAGGCGUGAAAGCCUGGGGCUUAACUCCAGAAUUGCACCUCAAACUACAUGGCUAGAGCAUUGGAGAGGGUAGCAGAAUUCACGGUGUAGCAGUGAAAUGCGUAGAUAUCGUGAGGAAUACCAGAGGCGAAGGCGGCUACCUGGACAAUUGCUGACGCUCAGGCACGAAGCGUGGGGAGCAAAAGGG
rnacentral:rRNA from 1 species